UGUCACUCUUUUCUUUCAAUUUUUCUCUGCAUAUUUCGACGGUCACUCCCACCAUUUACUCCAUAGCAACUUUCUUCUCCAAAUUUCAGGUUUGAUGGCAAAGAGACGAAGUAAUCACUAAACCAAAACAUUGUCGAGAAUCAAAGUGGACAGCGGCCGACUUCGAUGAUGACUUUGAUGAAGACAUUCCACUUUCAUUUAUACCCCAAUUUAGGGAGGAAAUGACUGCGGAUAGGGAGGCUGAGCGUGCUGCCGCGCCAAAGCGUUUACAUUGUUUAUAAUAUUCAUGUUUACAUUGUUUAUAACUAUUGUACAUUAAUGAUAGUUUUGUGUGGAUUGGGUAAUUAUACAUUACUUACUGUAUGAAUAAUACAUUAAUUAUAUAAAAAUGCAUACAUUAAUAGUUAAGUA